CCUACGGGAGGCAGCAGUAGGGAAUCUUCCACAAUGGGCGAAAGCCUGAUGGAGCAACGCCGCGUGAGUGAUGAAGGCCUUCGGGUUGUAAAACUCUGUCAUUCGGGACGAACCGGAGUCUGAGGAAAUGCAGACUCUCUGACGGUACCGGAGGAGGAAGCCCCGGCUAACUACGUGCCAGCAGCCGCGGUAAUACGUAGGGGGCAAGCGUUGUCCGGAUUCACUGGGCGUAAAGCGCGCGCAGGCGGUGAUGUAAGUCUGAGGUGAAAACCCGAAGCUCAACUUCGGGACUGCCUUGGAUACUGCGUCACUUGAGGAUAGGAGAGGCAAGGGGAAUUCCACGUGUAGCGGUGAAAUGCGUAGAGAUGUGGAGGAACACCUGUGGCGAAGGCGCCUUGCUGGCCUAUUCUGACGCUGAGGCGCGAAAGCGUGGGGAGCAAACAGGAUUAGAUACCCUGGUAGUCCACGCUGUAAACGAUGAGUGCUAGGUGUAGGUGGGCUCAUACCCAUCUGUGCCGAAGCUAACGCAUUAAGCACUCCGCCUGGGGAGUACGGUCGCAAGACUGAAACUCAAAGGAAUUGACGG
rnacentral:rRNA from 1 species